GCACCAGACUUCCUGUAAGCUUAUAGCUACAUACUCACAACUGCAUAAAAUCAGCUAUACACGUUGAAUCACUGAGUAAAUCAUAAAAAGUUUGAAGGACAAUAGAUUAUUUGAUGAGUAUGAAGGAUGAUGCAUUAGGUUACUAUUGUUUAUAAAAAAAUGUGCAUGAAAUGGUUUGUGUGCUUGAAUAGGAGAAAAAGUAAGCCCCUUCCUUUUAUCUUUCUGUGAGCUUCUAACUGGUUUGUCGGGUUCUGCCUCAAUCAAUGGGUGCAGCAACCAAAUGUUCCUGGCCAACCUGCAGAUAUUUGAAUGGUUCCAGGCCACCUUUGCAUGUCUGGAUUGCAACAACCACAACUAAACAACACUGAAUGCACAUGUUCAGAAAUUCUGGUCGGGUUUCUCAUGGAGGUGUUGUUGGUGGGUCCUGGGUCUAGAUGAGCUGAGAACCUCCGGCUUAAACAAAGGACAACCUGCGAACACUAGAUCAAACGUUUUAUAUUAUAGCGCAGCAUAUUUGACUUCUCUUUUCAUUUCGUUUGAUCAUAGUUGAUAUUAUUGAUCUUAAUUCUUAUUCUUAGUCAAUAUCAUCAAUCUACUUGUCUAUGUGUGCUUUACUGUUUGUUUUAUACUGUUUGUUAUCUUAUAUCUGCUGUAACUGCUGUAAUUGUCUACUGUUUUGAUGUCUGUUUUUACAAUGCUGCUGUUUCACAUGUGUUAGUUCAGAAAAGCUUAACCAGGGACAAGGACUGGUUAUUAGCCCUGGCUAGAAGUCCUGUAUACAUUGCAUUCGUUGCACUUUAAUAAGAAGUAACAAACAUGUAUUAUCCCUGGCAAAUAAAUUGAUUAAUAAAACUAAUCAGAGCAACAACAACA